AUUGAACGCUGGCGGCAGGCCUAACACAUGCAAGUCGAGCGGAUGAAGGGAGCUUGCUCCUGGAUUCAGCGGCGGACGGGUGAGUAAUGCCUAGGAAUCUGCCUGGUAGUGGGGGAUAACGUCCGGAAACGGGCGCUAAUACCGCAUACGUCCUGAGGGAGAAAGUGGGGGAUCUUCGGACCUCACGCUAUCAGAUGAGCCUAGGUCGGAUUAGCUAGUUGGUGGGGUAAAGGCCUACCAAGGCGACGAUCCGUAACUGGUCUGAGAGGAUGAUCAGUCACACCGGAACUUAGACACCGUCCAGGCUCCUACGGGAGGCCGCAGUGGGGAAUAUUGGACAAUGGGCGAAAGCCUGAUCCAGCCAUGCCGCGUGUGUGAAGAAGGUCUUCGGAUUUUAAAGCACUUUAAGUUGGGAGGAAGGGCAGUAAGUUAAUACCUUGCUGUUUUGACGUUACCAACAGAAUAAGCACCGGCUAACUUCGUG
rnacentral:rRNA from 1 species